CGGUAAGUUCACAUGUCGGUCUCGAAGGUAAUUUUCCGUUCUUCCGUGGAGCUUCGUUUCUACCCUAAAAUCUCCAAGAAGGCAACAGAUGCAGAGGGCGGGCAUCGAGGGACCAGGCCUUAUAUCUCCUGAAGGUUUAAAGAAGUUCUUUGGAAGGCAACUGAAAAGGCUUUGUAGUUUGCAACACAGGUACAUGGCCGAAAGGGCAAGUGGAACAUAACUAAAUGAUGCUCUCUGUGAACAGUUGCUGUCUCCUAGAAGUAACCACAAAUAGGUGAAAGCUGGUCAGUAGUGAUACUGAUUGAUCAUAUAUGACAUAUAGUCUCCAUUAUCUUCAUUUGUUGCAUGAAGUAAAUAAGGUCUGCCCUUUGUUUCCAUCCGAUGGACGAGUCUCAGCCGGAUGAACCUGGUGGUGAUCUAUGCCUCUCUGGACAGCCUAGAAGUGCUCAUGUCAGUGGCAGCUCAGAUGACAGAUACAAGUUUGUGUUGUAUUGAGUAAUAGAUCAUAAAAGAGGUUGAUUUUAUUCAUCAAGGAAAUGAAUAUUUAUAUAAGUUUUGAUGAAGAAUUUUUUUUUAA